CUACCAUAGCAACCCUUUUUUCUGUUUUUUUUAAUUCUCCUGCAAGUUUUACUCGACUAUUAGAUAACAAAGGGAGAAAAAUGUACAUAGACACGAUACGUUUCCGGACAUCAAUUCAACAUGCUAUCAAAUCGUUAGAGUUCCACGUUCUUUUGUCAACUCAACGGUAGCUGCUUAGCACCAAGAAAAACGCAUGGUACCAUUGCACUGAAAACAAUUCUUUGUUUCUGGCAGCCCGCUCCCACUUCUUCUCAGAAUGAAGUGUUAAAGCUAACAGAACUGGCAAUAUUUUAAAUGUAAAGAGAGCUUAUCCAUCAACCUAAAUCAUGCUGUCAUUUAUUCUUCAAAGAGCAGCAGUAGAAUUAGAGCAAAAACAUUUAAAAUGAUCAGGUGACAUCUAAAUCCCAUGGAGAGUAAGAUCGUGACGUGCAGUCCAUUAAGAUCACGAAAGCGUUUUUCUUUCUCCAGCUGUUUUGUUUGUCUUUUUUUUUAUUAUUAUUAUUUUCCUUGGAAAGAGUAAAACACGUACAUGGUAGACUUUUGCUGGGUGGUCGUGAGGGAGUUGCGUGCCACCGAACCAAACGUCCGAUUGAAUUACAACACUAUUGCAACGUCAACAUUCUGAGCCAGCACACGUGCAUUGAUUGAUGGUGAAUCAUAUACAGCUCGUGUUUUAAAAAAAACCAUCAAAGACGAGACUUAAGUUGAACCACAACAUCCAACUCAAAUCAGAAUCAGAGAAGUUUCUUUCAGUUAUGUUUCUCAAUUUCUGUUUACUUUUACUUCUUUUCAUUACAGAUUAAACAUUGAAUACUAUCGCCAUUGACGAAAAAGGUCCUACAUUAAUGCAGUCGUGAUGGGAAAUCACAAAAGGCACGCGGUCCACGUCGACCGGAUCGAUCCUUUUGAUCCAUCCACCGUUACGUUCAAAGCUUUCUCUUCAACAUCUCCAUCCAUUUUUUUUCUUUCCCCUGCCUCUACUCAUCCACCAAACUCAAUUCAUCGUUAGGUGAUCGCAGAUCCUGAUUGAGACGGAGAGUGGGAGGGGAAUAUCUUUUGGCCUUGACGACGGCACGGCGAGAUGCAACGAAUGAAACGAUGAUGGUGAAAAGACGUGAAUAGAAUUUUGCCUGGAUCAAACGCGUUCGUUUCUAGUCAACAGUCGCCCUAACGAUCGACCGAUUUCUUCUGAUGACUUUGAAAAUAAAUGAUUGUGGAGUAAAUGCGUUUUUUUUGUGUGACAAAGUCGACAAAAUUUGAAAGAGCAGGAGAUUGAUUUUGUUAUGAAAAUGAUGAUUGCCCCCUUUUAUUUUCAGAAAUAAUAUUGUACGAUGUCUUAACGAGUGCGGCUCAUUAAUUUUCCUAAUUUAUUUUCCUGUUUCUUCCCGUUUUUUGUUUGUUUUAGAUCUUACCCUUGUUUCCUGUUUCACGCCUAAUCCGGCCGGCUCCCUAUAAUCUACGUUCCGGCACCCAAUUAAAUGGCCGUAGGCUUCACACAACGAAACACCAGGAUUAAAUACAAACGAAAAAUUAAGAUGAAAAUGCUGUGAUGGUCGUUAAGGACGUCCAGGGAAUCUUUCAAUUUAAUUCUUUUUCUUCGUCUUCAUCUUCUUUCAUUUGUUUUAGGAGCAUGCAAAGUGAAGCCCUAUCUGUGGGACGAUCCAAUCAGAGGGGAAUUUCAACAGACAUGGAUCUCGCGAUCGGUUCCAUAAUUCCACGAUGGGGCAAAGCGAGGGCCGUUGUGAUUGGUCUGGUUGUUCAUCUCGCAGGAUCUUUGCGGACACGUCAUAAAACGAUGGUCCCUCCCUUCCUUCCUCGGAAUGGGCCGAUCAAGGGAAGUGGAUGUAUCGAUUCUUAGGAAAGAGGAAAAUAGAGAACCGAAUAAUUCAGACGUUCGACUCCUCUCCAUCACGUGAUUUCUUUCUUUUCCACUGGCCUUAUUUCCCGUAUACAAUUUUUGUGUUGUCUGUUUUGCUCAGUGUGAGAUGGGGAUGAAAAGAGGCAGUCCUAAUGCGAUCCAUCUUCGACCUGAUGGACUGUCACGAAUAUUAGACGCUUGUUCUUCUUCUUCCUUUAGCUUCACAGCCAAUCAAUAAAACCUUUCGGGAAUUCUCUGCCGCCUUCACCGACAAAGGUCUACUCAGCCGCAAACGCCUUCCUUCGGGGCACGCAUUUCCGGCCGGCCGAUGACGGAAGCGUGUCCUUUCCUGCCACUGGAACGCAAGAAAAGAAAGCGCCAAAGACGAAAGCGUCUUGUUAUUGCAAAUAUAUUUCUUUAACAGGCUACAGUGAGUAUGCACGGUAGUGUCAAUGGAUAAAGGUACCAAAUGAAUAGGUCAAUUCAUAAGAGAUAGAAGAAAAAAAGGAGAGGAAAGACUGGGAGGACAAAAUAACGAGAGCAUAGGUAUAUAUAUUUAUGUAUAAUCAGGAAAAUGGUGGUUUAAAGCAAUCAUUUUUGUCAUGGUUUCGAUUCAUCCAAUUUGCGGAGCUGCAACAAAAACGCAAGAGAGAAAUCGAUUCACAAAAAAACGAAACUUGCAGCGCAAUUUUUGGAUCAUACAACACAUGUUGUCUUCCUUGUUAUGGUUUCUCCAUCGUUGGGGAGAGACAGAGUCACCUGCAGGGCAGAUCAAGAAUGAACAAAUCCAGACACAACAAGGGUUGAAUUGUUUUACAAAUGUUAACAGGAAACGAGUGAAACAGGCAGACGAGGAAGAUUUUUGUUUUUUUUUUUUUGUUCUUUUGUUUUGUUUUUUUUUAAGAGGAGAGAGUGCGGGUAUCAUAGCAUCAAGGAGCAAUACACGCAAGGUAAAGUUAAAAGACACACGGGAACAUCUUUAUAACAAGGAAGAGAGGGGGGGGGGCACUUUUGCAUAGAUUUGUCCAUAUGAUAGACAAAUGCUUUUCGUCAUAUUCUCCGCGUAUUUUUCAAAAUAUCAAAUCUCUCUUAAACUUGAUCAUAGUUUCAUUUCAAGGACUUUCAACAUAUUUUUCUUUUGUUUUCCUUGUUAUUUUAUCUCCGUCUAACAACGACAACACAAAUGUCUCAAUUUGAAUCGACUGGAUUCAUCGCAAGUCUAAAAUACAAAACAAAAAAAAACAACCUACGGUCGAUCAGGUGGACAAGGAAGGGAAUCCCAAUUAAGAAACAUGA